GACGAAGUCCACCGUCAAAUAUCACCGCGACGACUCAUUGUCCACCUGACGUCAACGGGACCAAAUGACGCGACGCUCUACAUGUCGAUCAUUCUGAUUGUCAGUAGCCGUCAUCAUAAAGUGCUCACCAAACCACCCGACAAGUCUACAGUUUAUUAUAAGUUUAGUUCAAAUUCCAAAUUUCUAUAACGGGUUCCAAAACCGAUGAAUACUGUCUAAUAACAACACAUACCUAAGUCAUCGACCCACUUUCCAUGUGGUACUAACGUUGCACAUAAAUUCUUGAAGCUGGCACUAUCGUAUUUGCCUGCUGUCGAGAUUUUGUGACUCCGAAACCUCUUUACCAUCGUAACAAUUAUUUUUGAAGCACUUUUAAAAAUGUGUUUUUUUGACUACUUUUCCAGGGUACGGGGCAGAAUGGGCCACCUUAGAAAACAAGCUAUUUCGUCUAAUACAAGAUUGAAGGGUGAUGAUAAAUGAAUUAAGGGACCUUUCCAACAUAGUUUCCAUCAAGUGGCGAUUGUCCACGCUCCGUACAAAAAAGAUUUUAUUUUUAUGAAAAUUGUCCACGUUGGUGGGGUGAGAUUUCCAAAAAAGUGCCACGUGGUUUGUGGAUGGUCCCUUAUAAAUUAAAAAGACUGUAA